rnacentral:lncRNA from 1 species
CCUGGAACAAAAUCCAUUCUUUCUGCAGCUCAUCCUCGUCUAUGGCCAAAAGUUGGUUUCUCGUUUCUAGAAGAUGAAAGAUGUGAUGAUUUAGGAAAAAGCCAUUCUCUCUGCUUACUGCUUGCUGUUUGAGAUGUGCGUCUUCACACAUUCCUACCGACGUAUCUGACCGAUGCUGCCAAGAUUACCUGAUGGGAUGGAUGCUAAUGCCUCUACAACCAGAAGCCCAA